rnacentral:rRNA from 1 species
AAGGUUUCCGUAGGUGAACCUGCGGAAGGAUCAUUAAUGAAUUUUAAUGGACGGGGUUGUCGCUGGCCUGACUCAGGCAUGUGCACACCUUGCUUCAUCCAAUUCUCACACCUCUGUGCACCUUUUUCAUGGGCUGGUUUUGUGGCUUGCUUUGCUCUUUGGGCAAAGUUUGUUCAGACCUUCCUGUGUCAUACAUUUAUACGCUUCAGUUAUUAGAAUGUCAUUUUAUUGCUAUAAACGCAUUUAAAUACAACUUUCAGCAACGGAUCUCUUGGCUCUCGCAUCGAUGAAGAACGCAGCGAAAUGCGAUAAGUAAUGUGAAUUGCAGAAUUCAGUGAAUCAUCGAAUCUUUGAACGCACCUUGCGCUCCUUGGUAUUCCGAGGAGCAUGCCUGUUUGAGUGUCAUGGUAUUCUCAACCCUCCAAAUCUUUGCGGAUGAGGAUGGGCUUGGAUGUGGAGGUUUUUGCAGGCUUUCUUGAUAGGAAUUGUCUGCUCCUCUGAAAUAUAUUAGCACGGAUUUUACUGAACGUGUCUCAGUGUGAUAAUUGUCUACGCUGUGAUCGCAAAGUAUAUUAUAUUUGUGCUUCCAAUAGUCCACUAAAGGACAAUUCUAUUGACAUCUGACCUCAAAUCAGGUAGGACUACCCGCUGAACUUAAGCAUAUCAAU